AUUUUUAUGCAGUUAAGCUGCAUUAUGCGAGCACCCUAGAUUUGUGUUCUACCCAUGAAAUGCUGAAAUACUUGCCAUUGUUAUUAUCUAGCUCGCUACUAUGUUAUAUAUAACUAAUUGAACACUUUUUUAAUACUUUUUAUUCUGGAUUACAAAAAAUAUGACCAGAAAAACCUUAAAUGAUCGUCGAUUUAUCCAAAAGUUUUGAAGUUACACAUAGGAUUAGGAAGUAGUGCUUAUUAAGAAUCCUUGUGUAGUUCAUUAUGACUUGUGCUUUUAGCUAAGAUGUCAAAGAACAAUUGUAUGAAAUAUUUAAUCGCCGAAAAUCUCUUAAGACAAGUAGUUUAGAUUUCCCAAAUAGAAAAAAUCGUAGGAAUAUUGUUUGUCAUCAAUACGUAGUAUAAAUACGUCAGUAGUCUAUUAUAUAAUAUGUUCAACUGUUCAUGCUGUUGGCGGCAAUUUCAAAUUAGAAAAAGAAAUUUUCGUAGCUUUUCAAUUUGGAGGCAGGUGUGCAAAUUAGCGGUGGUUCGAGGUCCGCGACCUUCCACUUUUGCCAGCAGAAUUUCGACUAGGAUAGUUGGUUUCUAGCUACGCCCGACGUAGUCACCUUCCACUUGAAAGAAAAUAAGAAAUUACUUUGCAAACCUUCCAUGCAAGUCACCAAAGUCUCCAAUCAAACGAGCUAAAAACUUAUUUUUAUCAUUAUUAUUCAUGACAGCGAUGUUCAUUGUUCAUUUUGUUCAACCGCUAGCUUUAUACAGAAAAUCGCCGACAAAUAUUGUAUAAAUUCGAGUAAAAUCGUAUCUGAUUGACAAAAACAACAUUGUAAACACAUAACAAUGGCGGCCGUGAAGACAAAAUUUUACAAUAUCGGAUCCGAUUCCGGAAGCGGAUAAGGAUAAUUACGGGUUUGGCGAUCAAUUACAAUUCAAUUACAAAAUAAAUCAAAGCAGGUGAAAAAAUAAAUCUAUGCAUGGUAAAUGAAUAUAAACACUAGAAUUGUAAACCAAAAGAUAUAUGUAAAAGAAAGAAAAAGCAGAAAAAUAUUUUAUACAGAAACUCGAAGUUACUUUUUGACAAAUUUUAAUUUAAAAAUCCAAUACAGCGUGCCAGCUGGGAACAGUAUAUCUAACAAUAUACAUGUUCAUGGUCACAGUCUAAAUCUUCUUUAUCAGUGAUAAAUGAUGAUAAUGC
rnacentral:lncRNA from 1 species